UACAUGGGGUGCAAACGUUGCUCGGAAUUAUUGGGCGUAAAGCGUACGCAGGCGGCUCGAUAAGUCGAGUGUGAAAUCCCGGAGCUCAACUCCGGAAGUGCAUUCGAUACUGUCAAGCUUGAGUGCGGGAGAGGGAAGCGGAAUUCCAGGUGUAGCGGUGAAAUGCGUAGAGAUCGGGCGGAACACCAGCGGCGAAGGCGGCAUCCUGGCCCUUACCUGACGCUGAGGCGCGAGAGCGUGGGGAGCAACCGG
rnacentral:rRNA from 1 species